UGAGAUAUGGUGUAAUGGUAGCACUACAGAUUCUGGCUCUGUCAGUGAGGGUUCGAAUCCUUCUAUCUCAACUA
rnacentral:tRNA from 4 species